rnacentral:RNase_P_RNA from 1 species
UAAUCGCUGCAUAAUAGCAGAGGAAAGUCCGGGCUCCUCAGGACAAUGGUGCUGGUUAACGGCCAGGAGCAGCAAUGCUACAGAAAGUGCAACAGAGAGCAGACCGCCCGAAAGGGUAAGGGUGAAAGGGCAGUGUAAGAGACUACCGCCUGGACAGUGAUGGACAGGGCAUGGCAAACCUCACCAGGAGCAAGGCCAAGUAUGCAGUCGGCUGGUCCGGCCAUGGCUGCGGGUAGGCUGCUUGAGCUAUGGAGCAAUCCAUAGCCUAGAUAGAUGAUUACCUAAACAGAACCCGGCUUAUCUGGGGCCU